rnacentral:lncRNA from 1 species
AGAGACACACUGGGACCUUUCACAUCUCACUGUCACUUCUUGGAAGGGCUCUCUACCUCGUCUGCCUGCUGAGCAACCUCUUGGGGAGACACGGGCCCUCUUGAGUCACUGAACUUGAGCUAUUUGGUGUUGGGAGCUUAUAGCUUCAUUGCACUGUGUGUGACAUUUGGGUCCUGUUUGGCAGCAAUGACUGCCUUUCUGUUUAGUGUCUGUGUGCUAUGAAGAUUGCACACAGGGGUCCAGAUGCAUCCUGUUUUGAGAAUGUUAAUGGAUACACCAGCUGCUGCUUUGGAUUUCACCCAUUGGCG